UAGUAGAAUUAUCAGAUAAUAUGGGGCUCAUCUCGCACUUUUCAUUAGUAAUAUAGCUUCGAUAUUACCGACCGUCCCUAGAGCAAGUGACAAAGAGCUUGGUAGUUGGUAUCCGAGGUCCUAAGUUCGAAUUCUAGUUGAUUCACAUUUCUAGCUAAGUUUAUUUCUAAAUGAAAUAAACGAAGCGGGUAGCGUGCUACCUAUCUCUCUCUCAAAAAAAAUAUAUAUAUAUAUAUAUAGCUUCGAUAUUAAGUUUAACGACUCAGUUUAUCAGUAAUAAUAAUUCGUCAAAUCCAAACUAUCGGCCCAAAAUAUUUAGAUUCAUUGACAUAAAAAAUUCAACAUCACAAGUUAAUAUGAGACCUAUCUCAUACUUAU
rnacentral:lncRNA from 1 species